rfam:Dipodomys ordii contig_91636, whole genome shotgun sequence.
GGAAAUGUUGCUUAGUGGUAGAGUGCUUGCCUAGCAUGCAUGAAGCCCUGGGUUCAAUUCCUCAAUACCA